rnacentral:lncRNA from 1 species
GAGCCCACGGAUUGAGUCAGACCUGGAUUGUGUCCAUUUGAGUCCGAGUCAUUUUCUUUUAUUGCAUUAUUUGCUUUUGUCUUAGUCAAAUCAAUUUGGUCAAUUAUUUUGUUAUUAGACUAGUCAAUUAGGUUUAUGUAAUUGGGUCAAUAUGUAAGGUCUAUAUAAAGACCACCCCUCUCAUGUAUGAGGCAAUUGAUGAUUGAAUGAAAAAAAAUCCUAGCCUCCUUCUUGUUNNNNNNNNNNNNNNNNNNNNCCUUGAACAUUCCCCUGUAGUAGUUCCCCUUCUAUAGGAGUUUCAUUCUGUAGUCCCUGGUGAUCUUCCGGAUGCACUUCUUCCGAUGCAUGAUAUCCAACACGCAAUUGAUCUAGUUUUCGGAGCAUCUCUGCCCAACCUUCCACAACAUAGGCUCAACCCGAAUGCAUAUACUAGGACUUGGGAUUUAAUGUUACCGACAAUUGAUUUUGCAUAUAAUAGUUCGGUUAACAAGUCCAUAGGCAUGAGUCCAUUCGAAGUGGUGCAUGAUUACAAACCUAAACAACCCAUAGACCUAUUUUUUAUAUCUCAUCAGUAUAAAGUCUUUGAGUCUGCACAGUCAUUUGUAUCACAUCCACAUUCAUUGUAUCAAGAAAUCAGCAAUUGUAUUCACUUUAAUAACUUAAAAUAUAAAUCUCUUGCUGAUUUACGCAGACGUUAUAAAGAGUUAAGUGGAAGAGGUUAUGUCAUGAUAAGAAUUAGGCUUGAACGACUUUCUUCGGAAACGUUCAAGAAAUUGCAAGCUUGUAGUGCGGAAUCGUUCAAAGUCUUAAAAAAAAUUAGUUCGAAUGCAUAUGUUGUGGAUCUUCCUGAUGACUAUGGGAUUAGUGCAACAUUUAAUAUUGAAAAUUUAGUCCCAUACAAAAGACAACAUUCAUGUCUUCUGACCCCUUUAUUGAUAUACCUGCCCAUAUUGAACACCCUGACUCAAGAUCCGCUGUACCGGUACCGGUGGCGGUCCGAACCGGUCCGUACCGGUCCCGUACCGAUCUUGUACCGGUCCGUACCGGUACCGGUACCGGAUUUCAUACUGAUCCGGUACUGGUCUCAGCCCAGACCGGUAUGGGCCGGUACAGGCAGACCAUGUCCUGACUUAUUACCUGCUAUUGAGCCACUAGCUCUCAAAUUUUAUGCACGCAGAGAACAAAUAGAACAUAUAUUGGAUGAGCAGGUUAUGUCAACCAAGAACGGUGGUUACCAAUGUUACCUUGUUCGGUGAAAAGGUCGACCAAAGUCUGACGUGACGUGGAUUUUCAGAGCUCAGUUACAACGCCUUGAUCCCGAUCUCCUGGAGCAGUACGACAGCCAGCCAGACCUGUACUUGACGGGGUCGAGUUUUUUCCACCCGGAAGGAGUUGAUGGGGACAUCAGAACCCUUCAUUCAGAUGAUCCUGAGCCCACGGAUUGAGUCAGACCCGGAUUGUGUCCAUUUGAGUCCGAGUCAUUUUCUUUUAUUGCAUUAUUUGCUUUUGUCUUAGUCAAGUCAAUUUAGUCAAUUAUUUUGUUAUUAGACUAGUCAAUUAGGUUUAUGUAAUUGGGUCAAUAUGUAAGGUCUAUAUAAAGACCACCCCUCUCAUGUAUGAGGCAAUUGAUGAUUGAAUGAAAAAAAAUCCUAGCCUCCUUCUUGUUCUUCUUCUUCUUCCUCCUCCUCUUCCCUUCUUCCUGCGUCUCUAUAACCUCUUCUUCCUUCUCCCUCCCUUGUUCUUCCUCCUCUUCCCUUGCAGUUGUGCUACAUCAAGAUAGCAUUCCCCGUUGGACGCUAUCUUCGCAUCUAUAUAAUGAGAUAACAAUCUAGAGUUGUUAUCUCAUUAAAGUAGAUUGGGAUAAAGUUAGGAUAAGAACAUACCAAAUAGGUGAUUUGCUGAUCAUUAUCCCAUUAUCUCUCACAUGAUCUAUAACACAAUCUAUUUGGCAUAAACAAUAUUCUUGGGAUAUUCAAUCACAAGAAUCAUGGUUUAUAUCAAUAGCCUGAGGGGUGAGACUAACAGAAGUUGCUCUUCUCAAAAAAAGAGAAAUAUGCCAAAUGUCCAUCUGACCAGCAUGCAACANN